AACCCACUUUACAUUCUUUCUCUGACAUAAGUAUUUAUGAGUUGCAUAUAAGGGAUUUUCAUUGGCUAAUAUAUCCCAUCCUUCAGGUUUUAAAGUAUCAGAAUCAAGAUUCACCAAUAAUGUCCUCUUGCCAUCUGAUGAGAGCCCUCUGGCAUAUGGAUCAUUUGCAAAGCAUUUUUCAAUGCGUAAGCUGCAUGGAUGGUAGACAGAUACUUCAUACACAUAAUAACAACCUUCCCAAUCUGUUGGCCCUUUAAUGCUCCAAACUCCAUUAACCUC
rnacentral:misc_RNA from 1 species